AACACACUCCAAUAAUCUUUUCUCUCUCACACACACAACACCCAAACACCUACUUAUCACGCCAAACACCAUUUUUAGCUUGGAUGGAGGUUUCAAGCUCCGAUUUGAGCACCGAGAUGAGCGCCGAUCAUCUUUUCGAUCACGUAUCUAAGUAGGUCCUUUUGGGAAGUAACGACUUGAGGGAGAGAGUGACGUUACUCAUUGAUACAGAGACACAACGAGGUGGGCAUUACUUUUACUAUACGUAUAUAGAGAUCCCCUGCGUGUCGUAGGCCUCUUAUACGAAUGAAUGCAUGAGAUGAUUUAACUGUUAAUUUCAGUUUUAUAUAUCUAUCAAACGAGUUUAAUGCUACCUUUGAACAAGUUAUUUCGUUACAAAUCUUUGAACUGGAAAAUAUUACAACUGUUGUCUUGCCAUAAAAUGUUUAAAUUUUAGUAUGAUAUCUAUCUGCUUUGGCUUUGCCAAUGAUGCAAUCGAAUUCGGGUCCUGAGCAGUUGAUAGCUAUCCUGCCAGGACUAGUGUACACCAGUGACCGUGAGUCAUCUAGCGGGUUGGCCGGUCAAGUGACCGUGAGAGGUGGCCACCUCUCCGGCACACAGUUUCAGAUAUGAUAGAUUACAAAAGAACUUAGUCUGAUCAGACGAACUUUAAGAAUCACAAAUGAACUUAGUAAGCUUGGGCCUUUUUAGCGAAAAACUCCCUUGCUGUACUGAUUAUGAUGGCAUGACAAUUUAUAGUUUUGAAGCAUGUAUUUUUAUACCUAGGCAUACGUGCCCACUGAGUGCUUUUGUACUCAGCCCUGCAUAUGUUUUCUAAAUGUGCAGGUUGAGCUGAUGUGAUGAUGGUGCUGCAAUGAGCGGAGUCUCCAGGGUUGUUAAUAAAUAGUUAACCUGUCUAGAAUAUGUCUUCAUACAUAUGUCUAGCUACUUUCCGCUGCAAGAUGUUGUUGAUGUUAUAGUAUGUUAUGUCAUACUUUGAGUCUUAAGAGAAUGGUUUCAUAUGAUGUAUAACUUGAUUAAUGAUAUUAAUUAAGUUUUAUGUUGUCUUUCAUAGACUGUUCAAAAGAGUAUUAAUGAGUAAAUACGACGAUUUUUCUUAAGUUGAGUAA